rnacentral:rRNA from 1 species
GACGAACGCUGGCGGCGUGCUUAACACAUGCAAGUCGAACGGAAAGGCCCUGCUUGCAGGGUGCUCGAGUGGCGAACGGGUGAGUAACACGUGGGUGAUCUGCCCCUUACUUUGGGAUAAGCCUGGGAAACUGGGUCUAAUACUGGAUAGGACCAUGCUGUAGGUGGUGUGGUGGAAAGAUUAGUUUCGGUAAGGGAUGAGCUCGCGGCCUAUCAGCUUGUUGGUGGGGUAAUGGCCUACCAAGGCGUCGACGGGUAGCCGGCCUGAGAGGGUGGACGGCCAGAUUGGGAAUGAUGUGAGGACCAGACUCCUACGGGAGGCAGCAGUGGGGAGUAGUGCACAAUGGGCGCAGGCCGGAUGCAGCGACGCCGCGUGGGGGAUGACGGCGUUCGGGUUGUAAACGCCGUACAGCCAUGACGAAGCCCUUGUGGUGACGGUAGUGGAAGAAGAAGCACCGGCUAACUACGUG